GCCACUGUGGUAUAGUGGUUUGAGCAUUGGACUAUGACGCCAGAGACCAGGGUCCAUAUCCCUGCUGAACCA